rnacentral:rRNA from 1 species
GAUGAACGCUGGCGGCGUGCUUAACACAUGCAAGUCGAACGGUGAAGCAGAGCUUGCUCUGUGGAUCAGUGGCGAACGGGUGAGUAACACGUGAGCAACCUGCCCCUGACUCUGGGAUAAGCGCUGGAAACGGCGUCUAAUACUGGAUAUGAGCUGCGACUGCAUGGUCAGCAGUUGGAAAGAUUUUUCGGUCUGGGAUGGGCUCACGGCCUAUCAGCUUGUUGGUGAGGUAAUGGCUCACCAAGGCGUCGACGGGUAGCCGGCCUGAGAGGGUGACCGGCCACACUGGGACUGAGACACGGCCCAGACUCCUACGGGAGGCAGCAGUGGGGAAUAUUGCACAAUGGGCGAAAGCCUGAUGCAGCAACGCCGCGUGAGGGAUGACGGCCUUCGGGUUGUAAACCUCUUUUAGCAGGGAAGAAGCGAAAGUGACGGUACCUGCAGAAAAAGCGCCGGCUAACUACGUG